UACAGAGGGGGCAAGCGUUGUUCGGAAUUACUGGGCGUAAAGGGCGCGCAGGCGGCACUUCAAGUCUGUCGUCAAAGACUGGGGCUUAACCCUGGAAAGGCGGUGGAAACUGAAGCGCUAGAGUGCGGUAGGGGUAGAGGGAAUUCCCGGUGUAGCGGUGAAAUGCGUAGAGAUCGGGAAGAACAUCGGUGGCGAAAGCGCUCUACUGGACCGCAACUGACACUCAGGGACGAAAGCUAGGGGAGCGAAUGGG
rnacentral:rRNA from 1 species